rnacentral:rRNA from 1 species
AUACGGAGGGUGCAAGCGUUACUCGGAAUCACUGGGCGUAAAGCGCGCGCAGGCGGCUAUUUAAGUUGGAUGUGAAAGCCUACGGCUCAACCGUAGAACUGCAUCCAAAACUAUUUAGCUAGAGUGUGGGAGAGGAAGAUGGAAUUAGUUGUGUAGGGGUAAAACCCGUAGAGAUAACUAGGAAUACCAAAAGCGAAGGCAAUCUUCUGGAACACUACUGACGCUGAGGCGCGAAAGCGUGGGGAGCAAACGGGAUUAGAAACCCUAGUAGUCC